rnacentral:tRNA from 1 species
GCUGAUGUAGCUCAGAAGGUAGAGCAAUUGAUUUGUAAUCAAUAGGUCGUGGGUUCGAUCCCCUCCAUCAGCUCCA